AUAAUUGUAAUAUCUCGACUACCUAAGUUUUACCACGAUAGUCGUUUGCUACCAAACACGCAUAUACAUACACAUGUAUCUAGUAUACUUUGCUUUACCUAUUUAAGUAGAUCGACUAGAUCCCCUUUUCUACAAGUUCUUCAAACAUAUUCCUUUCAACAAAGAAUACGAUGUCUUUCAUUCACAUUCCGAGAAAGAGAGCAAGAAAGAAAAAGUUUCUGGAAGAGGCUGAUCAUACGACCUUGGUCGAUACCAAUUACUCUCCAUGGAAUAUUCCUUUGAGCAAGAUGUUGGCAUGAAAUUGCAGCGGUGAAGGACGAGCUGAAUCUUUAUCGAUACUACCUCGACCUCGAUCCUUCACGUUGUUAUUAAAUACAUAGUCACAGUCUCAUUGUAGACUAUGUAUCAAUUAAUAUCGUGAAUGCAGAUUUAGAAAUAAAUUAAAAUACUUAUUUAAUUCUACUGGUUGUCUAAAAUAUUUAAUUUAUUUUGUAUGCAUGCUGAUAACUGAAAUUUGUAAUAACUUGAGAAAAGUAGUAAUGUCUUUAAGAAUUAAUUAUUCCUUUUUAGUGAAUGAGAUUUUUGUUA